GGGAAGGGCAGCAUGCAGGAGAUAAAGACAUGGCCGGGGAAGGUGAGAGGGAGGAAGGAGAGACCGAGGAGAGAAGCAAGAGGCCCCACCAAAGCUGGAAGAAAAUCCUGCAGAAGCUUUCACUGACUCAUCUCUCUUUGCACACUGGGGCCAGGACCUCAGUCCUGAAAACAGGCGCAUUGCCCUUAAACAAUUCCAGUAUUAUGGCUACAAUGCUUACUUGAGUGACCGCCUACCAUUGGAUAGGCAACUACCUGACCUUAGGCCUAAUGGGUGCAGAAACCUCACCUUUCCCACUAGCCUUCCUGAGGUCAGCAUUGUUUUCAUAUUUGUUAACGAAGCCCUCUCAGUGAUUCUACGUUCCAUUCAUUCUGCUAUUGACCGGACUCCUCCUUACCUGCUCAAAGAAAUUAUCUUAGUGGAUGACAACAGUAAUAAUGGUAAGGGCUAUCUUUGGAACAUAGCUCUGGAUUGUGUGUGACUAGUAGCACAUUUCCUCAAGUUCUGACUUGCAGACAUCCUGUUAGAGUUUCAGAGGGUGUGUUUGAGAAUACCAGAGAAUUGUUUGUUUUUUUCCCCUCUAGCCUUAGACCCUUCUCCUGGGACAAGUUUUGCCUUCAGAUGUGCAAAAGUACUUGCCACUGACAUCCAGUGAGAACAGAGGCAGAGAACAGAGCUUCAUUCCCUAUGUUUAAUGGGCUCAGUACAUUGAUGUGUUUAAUGUGCCCAGUGGGGGCUCUCGUACAUUUCAAAGGAGGAAUGCGGACGUGCCUGUCAACUAGUCGAGUAGUCAAUGGAAAUUCCAUCGACAACUUGACUAGUCAAUUAACUGCAAAGGUUGGGCUCUGCUAGGAGUUAAUUUCAAACUCAUAAUAUUUAAGUGGGAUCAACAUCCCUUCUUCUGAAGGAGAAUGCCAAAUGAAGGGCUUCUGUUCCACCUCUAGCCUUAUGACAGCUCUUACCUGAGUCCCUGUUUCUGCAUGCUGGGAGCCACAACUCUCUCUCUGGCAUUCCUUGGACUUUUUUUUAGCAGAGCACAGACUGUAGCAGGCAAAAUAAAUAUGCUCCUCACCCAAAGCUGAAACUCCCCUUCUCCACCUCUUUUUUUUAAUUCUCUCUGUCAAGAAAAAGCUCAAAUCCCAGCUUCAAACACAUUUCCACAUAAAACAACUAAAUGUAUGGUGUUAGCACCCUGGUUGCAUGAGGAUAUUUAGGUCCAUUCCAACCCUAAUGAAUAACGCUGUGUUUAGAGUCAACCAAGCCUGACCUACCUUUUCAUGAUUAGGUAUUUUAAGGUGCAAUAUGGGUAAGAUAGUAUGCAGAAUUUAUGUGGUGAUGGUCUUGAUUUAGGGCACGAUAUGGGAUGUAACAGUGCAACAGAGUGAUCAAAAAUCACAAAUAAUAUAAUAGCAAACUAUGAGAGAACUAAAUAAAAUAAGCUGAGUGAAUCAGAAAUCACUCAUGAAUUUUUGGCUUGUUUAUGCAUUUCAUUAUGUAGCACUUGGACAUUCCCUGGCACAUGGUUGUAUUGAGACAAAAAAAGGAGAUGUUUUUACACAAGGAGAACGAUAGGCUGGUCUUCCCUUCCUCUGAAAUAUGUGACCAUCCAGACAGGAGAAUGCAGACUCAGAGUUGAUGGGAAUAACUUUCUGGCAUGGUUUAGGACAGGUGUUACCCUCACAGAGAGCCCCAUUGGUUCCUGGAAAAUCUCCAUCCCAUGCUACUUUUUUGUACCCACUCUCUUGCUUCAUCAGUAGAGUCCAUUGCCGGCAGCACGGGGCUUUCUCCACAAGCUGGCUAGCAUUCUCUGUAUUUUGGACUGAAUUUUGAUUACCACAUUAUGUAUGCUGAGGCUUUGGGUAUGAAGGGCUAUUCAGUGGAUGUGGAUCAAGAAGGCUGGAUCAGGGGAUUGUGUUAUUAGUUUAAUUUUUUCUUUUACAAUUUAUUUACAAUUUUC